CCUACGGGGGGCUGCAGUGGGGAAUAUUGCACAAUGGGCGCAAGCCUGAUGCAGCCAUGCCGCGUGUGUGAAGAAGGCCUUCGGGUUGUAAAGCACUUUCAGCGGGGAGGAAGGCGUUAAGGUUAAUAACCUUGGCGAUUGACGUUACCCGCAGAAGAAGCACCGGCUAACUCCGUGCCAGCAGCCGCGGUAAUACGGAGGGUGCAAGCGUUAAUCGGAAUUACUGGGCGUAAAGCGCACGCAGGCGGUCUGUCAAGUCGGAUGUGAAGUCCCCGGGCUCAACCUGGGAACUGCAUUCGAAACUGGCAGGAUAGAGUCUUGUAGAGGGGGGUAGAAUUCCAGGUGUAGCGGUGAAAUGCGUAGAGAUCUGGAGGAAUACCGGUGGCGAAGGCGGCCCCCUGGACAAAGACUGACGCUCAGGUGCGAAAGCGUGGGGAGCAAACAGGAUUAGAUACCCGGGUAGUC
rnacentral:rRNA from 1 species